rnacentral:lncRNA from 1 species
GAGAACCCUGAUGAAUUUCUCCAAGAGUCUGACACCCGCAGGGGACCGAGUUUCCAUCCUCGGAGCCAGGUGUGCGGGAUCCGGGGAGGACGGGCUCCUGGCCUUCUUCUCCAGCUCAGCCCGGUCCAUCCCAGCCAGGCCACCCUUCUGGCGAGUGAGACAGCCGUGCGGGGGAGCCGGCCAAGGUGGACAGACAGCGGCCGACACCCUGACACGGCAGCGAGCCCCGCCGAGCCCAGGCAAGCUGAGCCCCCCUGAUGCCGCACAGCGUAGCGCCCGGCCUCAUGGAGGGGCUGUGUCAACAUGCAGGUGACGGGACCAGCGCUGCACGCCCAGGCGAAGCUGUAGCACCUGCCAGUACGUUGCGUGUCACCUCCCAGGGCCUCCCUGGGGGCUUUUGUCCAGCGCCGAGAACCUGAGCGACCAGCGCACACCCAGGUGGGAAGGAAGAGGCCGGGCUGCCACACGAAGGCUCCUGGGGACGGAAGCCAGGCAGAGCCGUCGUACCAUCUGGCUGCAGCUCCUGGAGAAUUUGCCGGAACCCUCUGGGGAGGCGGCGGCGAAAGUCAGGAGAAAUGCAGGUGAAAACAUUCGCCCCCCACAACCCCGAAGGAAGAAACCGUGAUGGGACGUUAAAAACACCGGGCAGGGGCCGAGCGGCGGGAACCGGGCAGGCGCGGGCCCCGCAGACAAGGCGCCGCGCGGCGGCUUGAGCGUCACACAGUCCGGCAAACUGGAUCCCGAGAGGACAAAGCCAAGGGCGCUACCUACAGCUUCAGCAGGGGAUCAAGGUGAUGGUGAGAGUGUGUGAUGACGCUGGCGGUUCUCCAAACGAGGCGCGCGGCGACCACACAGCCCAGCGGGGCCCUCGGGCGUCUCGCCAAAGGAAAGGUACGUUUUCGUCCACUCAGAAAACCGCAGGCAGGUGUCCGCGGCAGCGUUAUUUAGAGCAGCG